UACGUAGGGUGCGGGCGUUAAUCGGAAUUACUGGGCGUAAAGCGUGCGCAGGCGGCGCGUUAAGACAGGUGUGAAAGCCCCGAGCUUAACUUGGGAAUUGCGCUUGUGACUGGCGUGCUGGAGUGUGGCAGAGGGAGGUGGAAUUCCACGUGUAGCAGUGAAAUGCGUAGAGAUGUGGAGGAACACCGAUGGCGAAGGCAGCCUCCUGGGCCAGCACUGACGCUCAUGCACGAAAGCGUGGGGAGCAAACAGG
rnacentral:rRNA from 1 species